UCAUAAAGGACCCAGACGCCAGCACCCUCAACAUCAUAAGGAAUCCGACGGAUGCGGAAACCGAGACCGGCUGGAUGGGAAACUCCAGGAAGGCUCCGGGGCCCUCAACUGGUCUCCGACCUUCCCCUGCAACCUGUGACACCUGCCAUAUUCCCAUCUUAGGCGAUGGCAACGCCACCCUUCCGUUUGCUCCGGGCAAAACUUCGAGAGUUCCCUCUCACUCUGGAGUUCUUUCCUCAGAUCCAAGAGCCAACUGGUCAUCAAUUCGUAGCAAACUCAUCUGCAGUGGCUUUGAGCAAGGCUCUUAGAAU
rnacentral:lncRNA from 1 species